GGACGUGCAAGCCUGCGAAAAGCUCCGGGGAGCUGGCAAUGAAGCUUUGAUCCGGAGAUGUCCGAAUCGGGGGAAACCCACCCCGCAAGGGGUAUCGUUAUCUGAAUACAUAGGGUAACGAAGCGAACCCGGCGAACUGAAACAUCUAAGUAGCCGGAGGAAAAGAAAUCAACCGAGAUUCCCAAAGUAGUGGCGAGCGAAAUGGGAGCAGCCUGCAAGUGAUAGCGGAUUCGUUAGCGGAAGCUUCUGGAAAGUAGCGCCGUAGUGGGUGACAGCCCCGUACGCGAAAACCAAUCCGUGGUACUGAGCUUGCGACAAGUAGGGCGGGGCACGUGAAACCCUGUCUGAACAUGGGGGGACCAUCCUCCAAGGCUAAAUACUCGUAAUCGACCGAUAGUGAACCAGUACCGUGAGGGAAAGGCGAAAAGAACCCCGGGAGGGGAGUGAAAUAGAUCCUGAAACCGCAUGCAUACAAACAGUGGGAGCCCCGCAAGGGGUGACUGCGUACCUUUUGUAUAAUGGGUCAGCGACUUACGUUCAGUAGC
rnacentral:rRNA from 1 species